UACGUAGGGUGCGAGCGUUGUCCGGAAUUAUUGGGCGUAAAGAGCUUGUAGGUGGUUUGUCGCGUCUGCUGUGAAAAUCCGAGGCUCAACCUCGGACUUGCAGUGGGUACGGGCAGACUAGAGUGUGGUAGGGGAGACUGGAAUUCCUGGUGUAGCGGUGAAAUGCGCAGAUAUCAGGAGGAACACCAGUGGCGAAGGCGGUGGUCUGGGCCGAUACUGACGCUGUAGAGCGAAAGCGUGGGGAGCGAACAGG
rnacentral:rRNA from 1 species